rnacentral:misc_RNA from 1 species
GAUGAAGAACGCAGUGAAAUGCGAUAAGUAAUGUGAAUUGCAGAAUUCAGUGAAUCAUCGAAUCUUUGAACGCACCUUGCGCCCUUUGGCCAUUCCGAAGGGCAUGCCUGUUUGAGUAUCAUGAACACCUCAACUCUUUAUGGUUUUCCAUGAUGAGCUUGGACUCUGGGGGUUUUGCUGGCUCACAGUCGGCUCCUCUAAAAUAAAUCAGCUUACCAGUGUUUGGUGGGUAUCAUGGGUGUGAUAACUAUCUACGCUUGUGGUUUUCCACCAGGUAACCUUCAGCAGUGGAGGUUCGCUGGAGCUCACAGAUGUGUCUCUCCUCAGUGAGGACAGCUCUUUGAAUGUUUGAUCUCAAAUCAGGUAGGACUACCCGCUGAACUUAAGAAUAUCAAUAAGCGGAGGA